UAAAAAUGGGGAAUAAUAAUCUCAAUUGCAGGCUUUUGUGAAGAAAGGGGCUGUGCAUAAAACAAGAUUUUUGCUUUUCGCAGCACUCUUGGCAUCGGUGUCGUUCUUGGAGCUUCAUCACUAUGCAUUUCCGACAUUCUUGAACUACGAUGUGUGAGAAUGGCGCCAGAAGCACGCCUGCAGUUGCCACGCCUGCCACCGGAGGCCCUUCGCAGUCGACGUCCACCGAUGGGGCCAAUGGGUCCGAUCGGACGAGGUCACCACCACCACCUAGGGCAAGAACUGCGGCACUGCGAGGAAAGAAGAAAACUCGCGAUGGGGACGUGGCCGCCUUCUUGCAGCAGCGCAGUCAUCAGGAGCGAGCCAUUCGAGAGAGGGAGCUCGAUAUAGAAGAGCGGAGACUCGCUCUAGAUGAAAAACGGCUGGAGUUUGAGCGUGAACGAUUUGCCGAGGAAGCCCAGGCGAGAGCCGAGGAA